CGGCAUGUAGCGCAGCCUGGUAGCGCACCGUCAUGGGGUGUCGGGGGUCGGAGGUUCGAAUCUUCUCAUGCCGACCA
rnacentral:tRNA from 1 species